AUGCCAGUGGUGGAUGCCUUGGCAGAAAGAACCGAGGAAGGACGCGUCUACGACCGCGAUAACGACGGGUUGGUGUCUAUGAACCAUUAGCCGUCGGUUUCCGAAUGGGGUAACCCACUCCGUAAGGAGGGCUACUAUUUGAAGGCCUCGCAAGAGGGGAUAGGGUAGUAUGCGGGCACGUGCUGAACUGAAACAUCUAAGUAAGCACAGGAAAAGAAAAUAAUAAUGAUUCCCGUAGUAGCGGCGAGCGAACUGGGAAGAGGCUAAACUGCUUGUGCUCUGCACAAGGAAAUUCGAAAUCCGAAAUACGAAAUCCGAAACAAAUUCAAAUUUUUUAAAUCCAAAUUUUCUAAACAAGUCUGUUUUGAAUUUUAACAUUUAAAUUUUGGACAUUGUUUCGAGUUUCGAAAUUCGUGCUUUGGAUUUUCUCGCGCAGGGCGCGAGUGGGGUUGAGGGACUAGAAUGUGGUAUUGAUUGUUGAUAGGAGAACAGGCUGGAAAGCCUAACCAAAGAAAGUGAUAGUCUUGUAUCCGAAAUUGACAGUCAGCCUACUAGUAUCCCAAGUAUCAUGGGGCACGACACCCUGUGAGAAUCAGUGACGUCCAGCGUCAUAAGCCUAAACAUUCUUUCUGACCGAUAGCGAACUAGUACCGUGAGGGAAAGGUGAAAAGUACCCCGGAAGGGGAGUGAAAUAGUAACUGAAACCAUUGGCUAACAAACAGACGGAGUCCCGUUAGAAUUGUGGUUAUAAAGUUGAUCGUAUUGAGUUUGGCAACCAAGCCUCUCGAUACGGCCUCGGUUGUAACCAGAAUUCUAACGGGAUGACGUCGUGCCUAUUGAAGAAUGAACCGGUGAGUUGCUCUAAUACUGUGUUAACUUAAGCCACUUUGUGGCGGAAGUGAAGCGAAAGCGAGGUUUAAAUGACCGAAACUAGUAGUAUUAGGCAGACCCGAAGCCCGGUGAGCUAACCUUGAGCAGGGUGAAAGCCGAUGAAAAUCGGCUGGAGGCCCGAACUCGUUGUCGUUACAAGGACAUGGGAUGACUUGAGGUUAGAGGUUAUAUGCCUACCGAACCGGGGGAUAGCUGGUUCUCCCCGAAAUAUAUAUAGGUAUAGCCCCUGAAGAACUACUUUUUGCAGGUAGAGCACUGGAUGGUCCUGGUUGCGCAAGCUGUCAGGUCUAACCAAACUCCGAAUGGCAGAAAGUUUAUGCAGGGAGUCAGAAAGCGACGGCUAAGCGCCGUUUUCUAAAGGGAAACAGCCCAGACUCAAAGCUAAGGUCCCAAAGUCAGAUCUAAGUUAAAGGAUGUCAGAUCUUUAAGACACCCAGGAAGUUGGCUUAGAAGCAGCCAUCUUUUAAAGAAAGCGUAACAGCUCACUGGAAUAAAGGUCAGGCGCCGAAGAUGAUCGGGAAUUAAGAUCUGCACCGAAGCUUGAGAUCUUGUGCUCUGCACAAGGAAAUUCGAAAUCCGAAAUACGAAAUCCGAAACAAAUUCAAAUUUUUUAAAUCCAAAUUUUCUAAACAAGUCUGUUUUGAAUUUUAACAUUUAAAUUUUGGACAUUGUUUCGAGUUUCGAAAUUCGUGCUUUGGAUUUUCUCGCGCAGGGCGCGAGAUGGUAGGGGAGCGUUCUGUUCUAGGUUGAAGUCCGCCCGUAAGGGCGAGAUGGACGACGCAGAAGUGAGAAUGCCGGUAUGAGUAGCGUUAAAUCCCGGUGAGAGACCGGGACGCCGAAAGUCCAAGGUUUCCUCGGCAAUGUUAAUCAGCCGGGGGUGAGUCGGCCCUAAGCGUGAGCCAUUUGGCAUAGCGCGAUGGAUAACGGGUUAUUAUUCCCGUACAGUAGAUUGAUCGUUACAACUUAAGGGAGGACGAAGUGGAGAUAUCCUGGCCUGCGCAGUGAACAUCGUGGGCAAAAGUUCCGAAAUAGUGAUGAGUGGUAAACCCCUCAACAUGAUUAAUCGAGGAACGAUGUCGAUCCAAAAAGAAAUUUAGGAGAGUAGGAGAGUCUUCGUUUUCAAGAAAAUUCUCGUGAGGAGAUCAGUUUACUUCCGUACCAACAACCAACACAGGUGGACUGGUCGAGAAGACCAAGGCGAUCGGAAGAACUAUGCUUAAGGAACUCGGCAAAGCAGCUCGGCGUAACUUAGGGAGAUGCCGUGCCUUGUGCCUUGCACAAGGAAAUUCGAAAUCCUAAAUCCGAAAUUCGAAACGAUUUGAAAAUUUAAAUUUUGAUAAUUUGAAUUUGUUUCGGAUUUCGAUAUUCGGAUUUUCUCGCGCAGGGCGCGAGGCCGCAGCGAGUGAUUGCUAUGCAACUGUUUAACUAAAACACAGCUCUCUGCAAAGCCGAAAGGCAACGUAUAGGGGGUGACACCUGCCCAGUGCUGGUAGAUUAACGGUGGUGGUGACUGUCGCAAGAUGGAGGCCAUUGCCCGAAGUCCCAGUGAACGGCAGCAGUAACUAUAACUGUUCUAUGGUUCCGCCUGAAAGAAGGCGUAGCUGCCAUAGUGAGGUAUUCAAACCUCUUCUCGGUACCGAUCGCAAUCGAGUACCGGAAAAAACUUGACUAUAUGCUGGAAAGCCCGGAAGAAUCAGCAGUACUUGACCUAUAGCGAUAUAAUUAAGGUUGAGUGACAAUUUGCUGUGGAUGAGUGAUCAGCAGGAAAGGUUGGGUAAGAAAGUGACAGAAGAAGAGAAACAACAAAUUUAUGCAGCGCUAGGGGUUCACCCGGAUAAUGUUGGGGAAUCUCCUGGGCCGCCAGUGCGAAGAAAACGGCCUGAGGAAGAAGAAGCGAAGAGUGGGGGAGGGAAAGGGGAGAGAAAGAGAAGCGAUGGAAGUGUGCAUGACUUGGUAAAUGAUUUACUGAAGGACGUCACUUUAUAACCCAGAAAUCCUCAGAGACUAUACGUCAAGAUGAUGCACCGACUGGUGCGUUAAAGAUAUAGUCCAAACUUCAAAAUGGAAUUUGAAGAUUUUUGAGCGAAGUUCCUUGUCGGGUAAGUUCCGACCCGCACGAAAGGUAGAAUGACAUAGCGACUGUCUUGAGCAUAGGUCCGGCGAAAUUG
rfam:Candidatus Gottesmanbacteria bacterium RIFCSPHIGHO2_01_FTLL_47_48 rifcsphigho2_01_scaffold_2400, whole genome shotgun sequence.